UUUUAACUGAUAGAGUUGACCAAAGUAUAUUAAAAUAAUAUACUUAAUUACUUAAUUUAGUCAGCAUGUUAUUGUUUGCACUAGUCACAAGGGCUUUUGGACAAGAGUGAUGAUAAAUCAAUGCAAAUCCAACAUCGCUUCUAGAAAAAUGCCUUCUCAUGCCUGUAAUUCCAGCACUUUGGGAAGCUGAGGUGGGUGGAUAACCUGAGGUCGGGAGUUCGAGACCAGCCUGACCAACAUGGAGAAACCUCAUCUCUACUAAAAUACAAAAUUAGCCAGGUGUGGUGGUGCAUGCCUGUAAUCCCAGCUACUCGGGAGGCUGAGGCAGGAGAAUCACUUGAACCUGGGAGGCGGAGGUUGUGGUGAGCCGAGAUCGUGCCAUUGCACUCCAGCCUGGGCAACAAGAGCAAAACUCCAUCUCAAAAAAAAAAAAAAUUUUUUUUUUACUGAUGAAGAGAAGGACUUUAAUGUCAUUUUAACCCACACAACAAAUCAUAUUUAGUGUUAUUUUUCAAUAUUAAGUGCUGGUGAUGAUGCAAAUGCAUAUUCAGAUUUGUUGGCUCUCAUUGAAAUGGGAUAUACAUUAUUGGAGUAUCCUAGAGAAUAAUCAACUAUGUGAAGUGAAAGACACUUCAGUUCCUGAUAGAAAGGCAAUAAGCACCAGUAACUUGCGAUUUCUGGAAACUGCCCAGGGAUCUUGUGUCAUUCCAUGUGCUUGGUUUGCUUCUAUCUCACUGAUAUUUACACUAAGAGGUUAAUGCAACUCUAGGAAAAUAAAACCUCAGAUUACUUUGUAGUAUAAGAGAAUGGAAAGAAACCAUAGCCUGGGAGGUAGAAUAUCUGCAUCUGAGUCUUGGCUUCACUUACCUUGGGUAAGCCACUUACCUUCGUUAAACUUCCCUUUCCUUAUCUGUAAGAUGGGGCUAUAACUCUCUGACUCCCAUUCACAUGGUCAUAAGGCUUAAAUGAAAUAACCCACUUGAGAACACUCAGUAAACUAAAGCACAUUGCAUUUUUAAGGUUUAUAUAAUCAUAGUUUAAUUGUAUUUCUAAUAAAAUUAUCUGCUAAAAAUAUAAGUAGGUAUUCUGAUCUUUCAUAGGAAUUUUGACAUUUAUAGUACAUGUAAAGAUAUUUAAGUAAAAAUUUU
rnacentral:lncRNA from 1 species